rnacentral:misc_RNA from 1 species
UUCAUAAUAGCCCUGUAGUAACAUAUGAGCAGACUUCACCACCAGUCAUGAAUUUACCGUAGUAACGCCUCCCAAUUUUGCCACACUCUGGUAAAACCCACUCCCAUUUCGACGGGCGGUGCGUACAAGACCCGCAGAUUACUAGCGAUUCCGGACUACUGCAGUCGAGUUGCAGACUGCGAUCUGGACUACGAUCGGGGCUUGGGAUUACCCUCUCUGUGCGGGCCGGCACCCUCUGGGUCCCGACAUUACGACGCCCUUGUUUCCAUGGGGUAAUAUGAGGACUCCGGAUCGUCAUCCUCAAUCUUCCUCCGGCUUUAUCAUCGGCAGCUUCAUUAUUCUUCGUAGUACACGAUAAGGGUUGCGCUUCGUUGCGGGAUUCUAACCCAACAUCCACACACGACAGACCUACCCCGCCAUGCAGCGCCUUUAUACGAGAUGCCGGGCGAGAGGGGCGGCCUGAGUUGGGUAUCGAAUUAAUCCACAUCAUCCAUUGCUUAAAAAUCCCGUUUUGAGUUUUAGUCUAGAUUACACUUAGCGGCCGGGACCACGUGUUGCCUGAAGGCCUAACAUAAGGACAUUGUUUAGGGCGUGGACUACCAGGUAUCUAAUCCCGCUUGCUCCCACGCUUUCGUGCAUGAGCGUAGAUAUGCGGAGGAACACCGAUGGCGAAGGCAGCCUCCACAACACUGACGCUCAUGCACGAAAGCGUGUAUAAACAGGAUUAGAUACCCUGGUAGUCCACGCCCUAAACGAUGUCAACUAGCUGGGUUGGGGCCUUCGGGCCCCUGGUAGCGCAGCUGACGCAGUGAAGUUGACCGCCUGGGGAGUACGGUCGCAAGAUUAAAACUCAAAGGAAUUGACGGGGACCCGCACAAGCGGUGGAUGAUGUGGAUUAAUUCGAUGCAACGCGAAAAACCUUACUCUACCCGACAUGUCUGGAAUCCCGAAGAGAUUUGGGAGUGCUCGCAAGAGAACCGAACACAGGUGCUGCAUGGCUGUCGUCAGCUCGUGUCGUGAGAUGCUGGGUUAAGUCCUGCAACGAGCGCAACCCUUGUCAUUAGUUGCUACGAAAGGGCACCUUUACGAGACUGCCGGCGACAAACCGGAGAAGGUGGGGAUGACGUCAAGUCCUCAUGGCCCUUAUGGGUAGGGCUUCACACGUCAUACAAUGGUCGGGACAGAGGUCGCCAACCCGCGAGGGGGGAGCCAAUCCCAGAAACCCGAUCAGAACUGAUCGCAGUUCGCAACUCGACUGCGUGAAGUCGGAAUCGCUAGUAAUCGCGGAUCAGCAUGUCGCGGCAGUGAAUACGUUCCCGGGUCUUGUACACACCGCCCGUCACACCAUGGGAGUGGGUUUUACUCAGAAGUAGUUAGCCUAACCGUAAGGAGGGCAUUACCACGGUAGGAUUCAUGAUCAGUGAAGUCGUAACAAGGUAG